GGCGGUUCUCAGGUGACACACCUUGGAAUCGGGCUCCCUCCUCUCCGGUUCUGCCUGUGUCACCCAAGAAUCACA
rfam:Myotis brandtii contig154893, whole genome shotgun sequence.